UACGUAGGCAGCGAGCGUUGUUCGGAAUCACUGGGCGUAAAGGGUGCGUAGGCGGGUCUUUAAGUCAGGGGUGAAAUCCUGGAGCUCAACUCCAGAACUGCCUUUGAUACUGAGGAUCUUGAGUUCGGGAGAGGUGAGUGGAACUGCGAGUGUAGAGGUGAAAUUCGUAGAUAUUCGCAAGAACACCAGUGGCGAAGGCGGCUCACUGGCCCGAUACUGACGCUGAGGCACGAAAAGCGUGGGGGAGCAAACAGG
rnacentral:rRNA from 1 species